UACGGAGGGUGCAAGCGUUAUCCGGAUUCACUGGGUUUAAAGGGUGCGUAGGUGGGCAGGUAAGUCAGUGGUGAAAUCUCCGGGCUUAACCCGGAAACUGCCAUUGAUACUAUCUGUCUUGAAUACCGUGGAGGUGAGCGGAAUAUGUCAUGUAGCGGUGAAAUGCUUAGAUAUGACAUAGAACACCAAUUGCGAAGGCAGCUCGCUGGGACGGUACUGACGCUGAGACGCGAAAGCGUGGGGAGCGAACAGG
rnacentral:rRNA from 1 species